AACGUAGGGGACAAGCGUUAUCCGGAUUUACUGGGCGUAAAGCGCCCGUAGGCGGCCUGACAAGUUGGACGUGAAAGCUCCUGGCUUAACUGGGAGAGGCCGUUCAAAACUGUCAAGCUAGAGUCUGGAAGAGGAGAGCGGAAUUCCCGGUGUAGUGGUGGAAUGCGUAGAGAUCAUGAGGAAGACCAGUGGCGAAGGCGGGUCUCUGGACAGUUCCUGACACUGAGGCACGAAGGCCAGGGGAGCAAACGGG
rnacentral:rRNA from 1 species